GAAAAUGGAGGUUCAAUUUGCUCAAAAAUUGGCUUCCAAUGAAAAGAAGCAAAGAGACAAAGCUCUGAAGAAACUGCGAAAAUAUAUUGCAGCAAAGUCUUCCGUUGGGUUUUCCAAAGAUGAUUACCUCAAGAUCUGCAAAGGGCUGCACUAUUCGAUGUGGAUGCAGGACAAACCACUCAUACAGGAGGAGCUGUCGGUUAACAUCACGCGUCUGGUUCACAUCGUGAACAACUACAAACAGGCUUUGCUGUUCAUCAAAGUCUUCCUUCAGACGGAGGCCAGGGAAUGGAGCGGCAUAGAUUUCUGGCGCAUGGACAAAUUCAUGAUGUUUGUACGUGACAUGAUAAAUCAGUCGUUUCUGUACCUGAGAAACAUGAACUGGGAUGUAGAUGUACUCAAGCAGUUUGUCGCCAUUUUGAAUGACACACUUCUCGACUGCUCAAACGACGACAUACCUGAUGGUAUCAGAAUACACCUGGCCGAUAUUUACCUGAGUGAAUUGAGCAAAGUGGGUGCAGACCAGCUGACUGGCAGUCAAAUUGUGGAUUUUCUGGCUCCAUUUGUCACUUACGUACAGCGAUCCAAAAAUUUAACCAUUGUUCAUCGAGUUGUGGCUGGAAUAUUUUAUCCGUUAAUUUCACAAACAAUUGAACGCAUCAAGAAUGUAAAGGAGAGAGAAGAGAAAAUGUCCAAAGGAGACGAGAAGUCUGAACAUCCUGAAGAGAACGAAGAAGAAAAUGAUGAAGAAGAUUCCAGUGAUGAUGAUGAUGAUGAUGAGCUGGCGGGGAAGUUUACACUACAUUUGAAGUAUGAUUGUCGCCUCAUUGCUGAUAAAUUGUUUGAGGCUGGAUCCAAGGUGGACUGCUCGUCUAAUAACCGGAAAAUUAUUUACAGACUUGUUAAACGACUGCAGAACGCUGCCGAUGGGGUGAUACCUCGAUUGCCGCAAGACGUUGGAGACACCAAAGUGGAAUUGAAGGAAAUCAACCGGGCAGUCCAGGCUCUACAGAAGAUGGAGAUGAACUUUGUGAAGGAAAACAAAAAGACUAAAAAGAAAAAAGUUCAAGAAGAUAAAACAGACAGAAAAAAAACUGAAGAUCUUGAAUGUAAUGGGCAGGAGGACAGUGUUUUGCUUCCUAAUGGAAAAAGAAAGAAAAAAUCUGGAAUCGAAACAGCUCACAAAAAAAUAAAAAACACAGAUGAUAAAAACCAUUCUACAAAAACAAAAGAUAACGUGGGUAAGAAAUCGGACAUUGUUCCAAGCAAACAGACAGAGAAUGUCAGCAAGAAACAGAAGAAGAAAAGUGAAAAGAUUUCCAAAGAAAGGGGAGAUAAGCAUGUCAAAUCUGCAGAAGAUGCUGAAAAUGUGUCGAGUGAAAAUGUCAGCAAGAAACAGAAGAAGAAAAGUGAAAAUAUUUCCAAAGAAAGGGGAGAUAAGCAUGUCAAAUCUGCAGAAGAUGCUGAAAAUGUGUCGAGUGAAAAGCAAGAUAAAAAAGGUAAUAAAAGUAUAGGAUUAGAAUCGGCAGAUUCAACUGUUGAUGCAAAUCAAAGCAGUAAUGUGAUGUCGGCUAAAGUCAAAAAAAAAACCGGAAAGAAAUUUAAAACUGAUGGAUCGAGUUCCCAACCUAAACUUAACACUGAUAAAGAUGCCACGAUCGGCUUGGCAGAAGAUGUUAUUGCACUGUUUGCUAACAAGAAAAAGAAAAGAAAGAAAAAAAUUAUCCUAAUGGAUGAAAAUAAUUUUAUGUGUUCCCAAACUGUUUUCAAGACUGACACACAGAAAACGUCUUCACAAGGUGGUGUCGAAAGUAGUACCAACUUGUCUUCUACAUCUAAAAAGAAAAAGAAGGCACAAGGUGUUUCUCUGGAUAAAAUUAACUCUUUAAACUCUGAAGGAAUGAAAAUUGGUGUUCUAGCAAAUACUUCAGUGGCUGAAGGUGAAAAUGUUAAUGUGUUGUCUUCCAAGAAGAAAAACAAACAACAGAAAAAGGUUGUGCUACAAGAUAAGAAUAUGAGCUCAGAUUCUAAAAAAAUGAAAAGUGAUUUACAGAGGGAUCCAUCGGCAACAGCCGAUGGCAACGUAACUUCUUCUAAGAAGAAAAACAAAAAGAAGAAUAAAAUUAAUAAACAAGACUCUAUACCAGAUUCAACAGUGGACACUGUAAAAGCUCACACAACAUCAUCAUCAUCAUCAUUUUCAUCAUCAUCUAAAAAUACCAAAAUAAAGAAAAAGACAAAAGCAGACGCCAGUGAUGAAACCACAAAACAGCCCAGCAUUGUUAAGAAUCUGAUGGACGAUUUUACAAAACCACUCCAGGAUGGAGAAAUUGAAAUUUUUGUGCCCAGUAAGAAAUGGGCGGGAAAGCUGCAGUCGUCAUGGUUGGAAUCUGCGAAUGAAACAAAGACCAGUGUGUCCGGGUCAGUCGUCGCCGCAUUUGAAAAGAUAUCCCAGACUCCCCCAGCAUUUGUACGCAAAGCAUGUGCUCCACAUACCCUACCCAGGAAGAGGAAAGUGGAGGUAUUGUACUGCAGAUGAGGCCCCCAGCAAGUGUUUGUCGGCGGGGAAAAAACGGGUCAGUUUUGACCCCAGCAGGAAUGUGUCCUUGAAUUUUAAAGACAGUCUGUUGAUCAUUUCUGAUCCAGCCUUUCGACCUGACAAGUCUCCGUCCCAGGG
rnacentral:misc_RNA from 1 species